rnacentral:lncRNA from 1 species
UCCUGCAGCACAGUGAGCCACUACAAAAAAAUAGGAGGUGAUAGAAGAUUUUGACAUUUCAAAGUCUGAAGAAAAUGUGGAUCUGGCCAUGAUUUUGGAACAGAGAUUCAAACUAAUGAUGCAGAAUGUUUCAUCUGAUAAUGUGUGCUUACUACAUUUUCCGAGACCAAGACUACAUUCUAGCUCUCCAUUACCUAAAUGAAAUAUAUUGAGUGCCUGCCUCUAAAGAAGAAUUCAAUGAAGG